GGGAAUGUGGCUCAGUGGCAGAGCACUUGCCAGGAAGCCCUGAGUUCAAUCCCCAGCACCACCA
rnacentral:tRNA from 1 species